rnacentral:lncRNA from 1 species
UGCACUAAUUUUUUCAGCAUAUUACUAAUAGUAAUCACAGUAAACACAUCUUCCAAUAGGAAGGGAACAAUAAAAAUGAGAGUACUUUAUAAAAGAUGUUGCUAAUAGUAAGCACAGUAAACACAUCUUCCAAUAGGAAAGGAACAAUAAAAUGAGAGUACUUUAUAAAAGAUGACGGGGAACUAACACUGAACAGAUCAUUUAUUACCACAAUUUGUUUGGACCACCAUAGGAACAAUAAACUAAUUUUACCGUAUUGGAAAAAUAGAGAUGAUGACAUACC